GACGAACGCUGGCGGCGUGCUUAACACAUGCAAGUCGAACGGAAAGGCCCUGCUUCUGUGGGGUGUUCGAGUGGCGAACGGGUGAGUAACACGUGAGUAACAUGCUCUCGACUUUGGGAUAACUUCAGGAAAAUGGGGCUAAUACCGGAUCGGAGCUCCUGCUGCACGGAGGGGGUUGGAAAGUUUCGGCGGUUGGGGAUGGAUUCGCGGCUUAUAGGAUUGUUGGUGGGGUAGUGGUUCACCACGGCUGUGCCUGAUAGCCGGCCUUAGAGGGUGGCCAGCCACAAUAGGACUGAGAGACGGCGCAGUCUGCAACAUUGGACAACGGUGGGAAAUAUUACGCAGUGAGCGGGAGCCUAUUACGACGACGCCGCGUGCGGGAUGUCCUCCUUCCGGUUGUGAACCGCGUUCACCUGAUACGAAGCGUGAUUGACGUUAAUGGGUGAAGAAGCACCGGCUAACUACGUG
rnacentral:rRNA from 1 species